AAUGUGGAAACUUGACUGCAUUCCACAUUUAGGUGAAAUUUACAUUUUUCUUUUUGUACUCAUCUUCAUAUCAUUUUCUGUUGAAGCCUAACCUGCAGAGGCUUUGUUUAGCGGGAUAUCAUGUCCAGGAAUGUGUUACAAUUUUCUUCUUGUUUGACAUGAAGAAGUCCUAAUCCUAGUCUAUCCUAAAACUCACAGUUCUGCAACUCUAGUUUGAGUUUUAAUAUCUUUAAAUGUGCACAGAAUACAAGCUUGAGGACUUUAAAAAUAGGCUUUCUGCACUUCGGAAAUUUGACUGUGGCAUGCAUGCAUGUAUUGUUGAAUGAGACUGAACUAGGUUAGAAAUUACCCUUGGUCUAAUAUGAUAGAGAGAAUUUUCCAAAUUAUCUCAUGUGAGGAAUUGUUAGUUAUUUUCAUUUUGUACUAUUUGGGUGGCUAAUUUUUUGAACAUGAAUGUUGUGUGUCUGAAGGUAUGGGGCAGUUUCCAGUAUGGGAAAUCCAUUUGAUGCUCUUCAAGACAUGACAAUGUCACUUAUCCAUCCUCUUAAGAGUAAUAAUUGACCCAAAAACUAGUGAUGAAGUCCUCAGUUGUCUCGUAGUGUAACUGUGAGAAUUGGUGAGCUAAAUUUGGUGGCAGCUAUAAAGCAUUCCAUGAUCUUUCUGCUGCUUAUAGGCAUUGUAAAUGUCCCUUUGAAACCAAAGUGUGUAUUAGUGCAGAAAACAUCCUGUGACAGGCCUGAGUGCUUGAUGGUGGACUCUAUGGAGAGGUUUUAUUAUCAAGAUUUGGAGAAUGCAAGGUAUUGUGUUCUUAUCUGUUAAUUCUCAAUUUCUCAUCAACAUUGAAGUAAGCUCAGAGUAGAAUUCCUAGUGAUUAAUACGGAUGAGUUGAGUGGGAUACAUACUGGACACUACAAAUACUCUUUAUCUGAAAUUUGAUACUGAUAUAGGAGAAAAGAAGUUAUAUUGACCUUUGAAUUUGUCAAUGGAGAAGAGAAAUUUCUUUUCAAUCUGUUAGUUUAUACCCAUCACAUGUUUCCACAGUCCCACUUGUUUGUAAGCCAUACUUGAAGCCUGGGCCUCCUAUGAUAUGGAUUUUCUCACAAUUGUCAUAUCACACAAAAUUUUUGUGAUUCUAAGAUGGAGUGGAGAGACCCAAAGGUUAAUUUUGGAAUACUAGCAGGUAAAUAAAUUUGGAAUGAAGGCAUUUAAUAUCAAGAUCCGAGAGACGCAUGAUAUUAUGUUCCUAUUGGGAAAUUAUCAUUUUCCAUCCCUUGGUACUUUGUCAUUAAAAUUUAACUUUCAUUCUGAGGAGCUGAUUUGGAUGAGUGUAAAUCUAUUUGGGAUUAUUAUGCUUGAUCUAAGAGUUGUAAUUGCACUUGGGACCAUAAUGUCUUGAAGAAGAGAAAACACUUUCUGUCAAUAUUAUUUUCUUAUCAGGGGUCAUGGUGAAGCAUCAAAGUUAAGAAUGUAUCUCAAGCAUCUUGGCAUUGGUUUUGUUGUUUUACGAGGACAAGCAGACAAGCAUGAAAAUAUUCAUAACAGCAAUGGACAAGGAUGACCCAGAAUCUCAUUUUUCUUUCCAGUUAUACUCAUGAGGUGAUCAAUUUCUUUUGUGAAGUAUUUUCAUGACAGCUCUGAAUAAUUGCUGGUAAAUUUGGUGACUAACUUCUAUUAUCUAGAUUUGCAAUCUGUUCCUAUCUGUUAAUUCCCAUUUCUCAUCCCUUGUCACAUUGUAGUUAACAAGUUCAAAUUAGAAUUGUAAAAGACAUCCAGUUGAAUUUUAGUGUUUAUAUAAUUGUCAUAUUGAACAAUACAACGAAUUGAGUUUCUGCAUUUUGGAAGAGAAAGGAGAAAGUAUAUUGAUGGAAAAAUUUUAUUGUUCUGUCAGUUUAUGUACAUCAACGAUAUAAUCUACAUGGAUCAAAAUUGGAGAAAGGACAUUUAUGUUGCCAACUAUUUUGCUAACCCUUUGCUCUUCUUUCUCUUAUGAUGCAUGUAGUUGAGAAGUGAGAUCAACAAAAGCAUCUUCGUUGCAUGGAAUUGUGAGACCACCCAUUGGAUGAUUAAAGCCAAAUUCUUCCUCAGCCUGACAUAGCAAGGAUCUGAAUGAGGGGUGGUUCAAAUAAGAAAUUGGAACCACAUAAUGUCUCUUCUCAACGUCUCCAACGUACACUGCAAGAUGACCUUUUGGGACAUCUGCUUGAUUUCUGCAAAGAAGUGACUGUAGUUUGACAAGCUGCUUGAUCUGAACCAAGGAGGGCAAACGGAUACCCAUGAUGUUCUUUGAAUUGAACUAAGAAAAUAUCUCCAGCCAAUAUAAUAAGCUUUAUGUAGAUGAAAGAUUGAGUUGAAUGCAGAAGGAAGCUUGGAGUUGAAAGGGGAUUCAGUUUUGUAUGUAUUUAUAGAGAAGAAAAUUGCUUAUGUUUUGAAUACUUUCAGAUCAAUGGAGUGUGUGAUGAGUGUGGUCACCAUUAGUUGGAGUUGGGUGGAAGAAGAGCCUACCUUGUCCAGGAACACAUGGCCUUGUCUCCUCUUCUGUCAGCCCCUCCUUGUUUGGAUCAGCCCCACAUCUGCCUUUAAGUUGCUAUCCAUAUUGAAGCCCUGGGCUAUUAUUGAUGCUGGCAGAUUCAAACAGACAGCUAGCUUAUGCUAGAAAAGAUCAAAAAACAAAUUCAUGAGAUGGUGUUGGUACUGAUAAGUUCAAUGUGAAGUUGACAAGAAUUUGGACCAGCUAGUCAAUUACAAGAAAGAGAAGAUUUAAAGCGAGAAAUAUAUGCUUGUCAAAAUUCAUCACAAAUGAUUAUAGUAGAUAGAAGGUAGAAGAUGGACUGGCUAGGGUCAAAAAGAGGCAUUUUUAGAUCUUGUGUAACUUUCUAGAUAUGAGAUUAUAUUACUCCCAGGAGUACCAA
rnacentral:lncRNA from 1 species